rnacentral:rRNA from 1 species
UACGAAGGGGGCUAGCGUUGCUCGGAAUUACUGGGCGUAAAGCGCACGUAGGCGGUCUUUUAAGUCGGUGGUGAAAUCCUGGAGCUCAACUCCAGAACCGCCUUCGAUACUGGAAGACUUGAGUCCGGGAGAGGUGAGUGGAACUGCGAGUGUAGAGGUGAAAUUCGUAGAUAUUCGCAAGAACACCAGUGGCGAAGGCGGCUCACUGGCCCGGUACUGACGCUGAGGUGCGAAAGCGUGGGGAGCAAACAGG